rnacentral:rRNA from 1 species
UACGAAGGGGGCUAGCGUUGCUCGGAAUCACUGGGCGUAAAGCGCACGUAGGCGGCUUUCUAAGUCAGGGGUGAAAUCCCGGAGCUCAACUCCGGAACUGCCUUUGAUGCUGGAAAGCUUGAGUUCGGGAGAGGUGAGUGGAACUGCGAGUGUAGAGGUGAAAUUCGUAGAUAUUCGGAAGAACACCAGUGGCGAAGGCGACUCACUGGACACAUAUUGACGCUGAGGUGCGAAAGCGUGGGGAGCAAACAGG